GUUUCGGGUCCGAUAGUUUUAGGUCGGGUCGGGUCGGAUCGGAUCGUAUACUUUGCUUGUGCUUGUUGGGCCUAUGUUGCCGACUCGUAUUAUAUAUCUGAUUGCUUGUGCUUUACUGGGCCUAUGUUUCCAUCUCCGAGGUUUUCCUUUAUUAUAUUGUAUCAGUGUCUUGCUCUUGAAAUAGAGAGACCUGUAGCUUCUUCAGAGCCGAGGCAAAUCGAACCCCUUGAAGCAUAAGAUUUCCUUCUUUACCAGUUCCGUUUGAUUCCAGCUCGUUGGUUAUUCGCUUCAUGUACUCCUGAGCUAGCCUCAGCGAGCUGUAUUUUAGCUGCAACAAGAUAUCAGUCACCUAACCUGUCCAAUCAAUCCUGUGUCGAGCAUCCACUCCCACGGAGACAUAGCUCCAUUCUGAUUGAUCUUGUUCCCCAUAUGAGACUCUCUCUUCGUCAGGGCACGAUAAAAUUCUACAACUUCUGGAGC